rnacentral:rRNA from 1 species
UUGAACGCUGGCGGCAGGCCUAACCCAUGCAAGUCGAGCGGAUGAAGGGAGCUUGCUCCUGGAUUCAGCGGCGGACGGGUGAGUAAUGCCUAGGAAUCUGCCUGGUAGUGGGGGAUAACGUCCGGAAACGGGCGCUAAUACCGCAUACGUCCUGAGGGAGAAAGUGGGGGAUCUUCGGACCUCACGCUAUCAGAUGAGCCUAGGUCGGAUUAGCUAGUUGGUGGGGUAAAGGCCUACCAAGGCGACGAUCCGUAACUGGUCUGAGAGGAUGAUCAGUCACACUGGAACUGAGACACGGUCCAGACUCCUACGGGAGGCAGCAGUGGGGAAUAUUGGACAAUGGGCGAAAGCCCGAUCCAGCCAUGCCGCGUGUGUGAAGAAGGUCUUCGGAUUGUAAAGCACUUUAAGUUGGGAGGAAGGGCAGUAAGUUAAUACCUUGCUGUUUUGACGUUACCAACAGAAUAAGCACCGGCUAACUUCGUG